UACCGCGUGUAUUUCUAACUAC
rnacentral:snRNA from 1 species